rnacentral:rRNA from 1 species
UACGAAGGGGGCUAGCGUUGCUCGGAAUCACUGGGCGUAAAGCGCACGUAGGCGGCUUUCUAAGUCAGGGGUGAAAUCCUGGAGCUCAACUCCAGAACUGCCUUUGAUACUGGAGAGCUUGAGUCCGGAAGAGGUGAGUGGAACUCCGAGUGUAGAGGUGAAAUUCGUAGAUAUCGGAAGGAACGCCGGUGGCGAAAGCGACGUGCUGGACCUCUUCUGACGCUGAGGCGCGAAAGCUAGGGGAGCGAACGGG